rnacentral:rRNA from 1 species
AUUUAACCAGAAAGUCACGGCUAACUACGUGCCAGCAGCCGCGGUAAUACGUAGGUGGCAAGCGUUAUCCGGAUUAUUGGGCGUAAGAGAGUGCAGGCGGUUUCUAAGUCUGAUGUGAAAGACCUUCGGCUUAACCCGGAGAAGUGCAUCGGAAACUAGGAUAACUUGAGUGCAGAAGAGGGUAGUGGAACUCCAUGUGUAGCGGUGGAAUGCGUAGAUAUAUGGAAGAACACCAGUGGCGAAGGACGGCUACCUGGUCUGCAACUGACGCUGAGACUCGAAAGCAUGGGGUAGCGAACAGGAUUAGAUACCCUGGUAG